CUCCGCCGGCGACCGGCGCACGGGUGCGUAACGCGUAUGCAACCUACCUUUAACAGGGGGAUAACACUGAGAAAUUGGUACUAAUACCCCAUAACAUCAGGACCGGCAUCGGUUCUGGUUGAAAACUCCGGUGGUUAUGGAUGGGCAUGCGUUGUAUUAGCUGGUUGGUGAGGUAACGGCUCACCAAGGCAACGAUACAUAGGGGGACUGAGAGGUUAACCCCCCACAUUGGUACUGAGACACGGACCAA
rnacentral:rRNA from 1 species